UGGGGAAUAUUGCACAAUGGGGGAAACCCUGAUGCAGCGACGCCGCGUGAACGAAGAAGGUAUUCGUAUCGUAAAGUUCUGUCCUAUGGGAAGAUAAUGACAGUACCAUAGAAGAAAGCUCCGGCUAAAUACGUGCCAGCAGCCGCGGUAAUACGUAUGGAGCGAGCGUUGUCCGGAAUUAUUGGGCGUAAAGGGUACGCAGGCGGUUUAAUAAGUCGAAUGUUAAAGAUCGGGGCUCAACCCCGUAAAGCAUUGGAAACUGAUAAACUUGAGUAGUGGAGAGGAAAGUGGAAUUCCUAGUGUAGUGGUGAAAUACGUAGAUAUUAGGAGGAAUACCAGUAGCGAAGGCGACUUUCUGGACACAAACUGACGCUGAGGUACGAAAGCGUGGGUAGCAAACAGG
rnacentral:rRNA from 1 species